AACGUGGCGUUGGUUUCGGCAAAAAAGAUAGUUUCUUCAUUUCAACUUCUGGUGGCAGCCAACAUAGCCCUGCACAACCAGGCAGAUGGCUCACUGAAAACAAGGAAUGUCAACUCAGAGAUAAUAUUCUCUCUGUCCCCAGGAAAACAGAUAUCUGAGGCGUUUCGGUCGCUGGGCGCGGCGGCCGACGACGCGACGGUGGCCGCUGUGGCCGUGGAGGACGCGGCCAGGCUGGCGCCCUUGCACGAGGCUCUGGAUGGCACAGCUGUCCAUCCCGACCAGCUGGGGGCGCUGGCCGACCCGGCCGCCGUCGCCCAGCUGUACGGCGUCACCGACCACGAGCUGGCCGUCGGCACGCUCGAGGAGGCCGUCGUCAACCGGAUCGCCACACGCUGUGCGACGUAGGGCGCACCGGGGCUGCCAAUCAACGCAAAUGUCACCGAUCACGAGCUGACCGUCGGCACGCUCGGGGAGGCCGUCGUCAACCGGAUCGCCACACGUUGCGCGACGUAGCGCGCGCCGGGGCUGCUGGUCAGCGCGACCGUUCUCUCGCGUUGAUGGUCGGCCAUGGUCUAUUGGUCUCAUCAGCCGUUAUUCAUGGCAGAGAAUGCCGAACUACAGCAGACAUUUAUUGUAUUUUUGAAAUAUACUUGCACCGCAUG